GCUGGGUGCGGUGGCCCACACCUGUAAUCCCAGCACUUUGGGAGGCCGAGGCGGGCGGAUCACCUGAGGUCAGGAGUUUGAGACCAGCCUGACCAACAUGGAGAAACCCCGUCUCUA
ensembl:misc_RNA Metazoa_SRP Metazoan signal recognition particle RNA